UACGUAGGGUGCGAGCGUUAAUCGGAAUUACUGGGCGUAAAGCGUGCGCAGGCGGUUGUGCAAGACAGAUGUGAAAUCCCCGGGCUCAACCUGGGAACUGCAUUUGAAACUGGGAGACUUGAGUGUGGCAGAGGGGGGUGGGAAUUCCACGUGUAGCAGUGAAAUGCGUAGAUAUGUGGAGGAACACCAAUGGCGAAGGCAGCCCCCUGGGUUAACACUGACGCUCAUGCACGAAAGCGUGGGGAGCAAACAGG
rnacentral:rRNA from 1 species